AUGGAUGUCCAGAGGGACAAGCUUUCUUAUGGGAAAUUACCGGUGAUUUCCCAUUCGUCAUUUUUCUUACCUUCUAUGUAUUGCCAUCUUUUUUAUCAAGAUCUUAAUUUUUUAUCAUAUUUUUUUCAGCUUAAGCCCCAAUAUGGUCAAGACUAUUGCUUGUUUGGUGGUUUACAAGGUCUAGAUAAAUUCAUGCGUGUUCAUGCACCGCAAAACUGUUCUGAACAGGUAUUUUUAAUCAUUUUAGUGCGUUUGGGUAUUUUUGUUUUCCUUUUCCUGGUAAAUAUUGUUAUAAAGACCUGGUAA
rnacentral:rRNA from 1 species